UGCAGAUGUGACUUGAUUUGGCUGA
rnacentral:piRNA from 1 species